UAGAGUUUGAUCCUGGCUCAGACUCUUUCGCUGGCGGCAGGCCUAACACAUGCAAGUCGAGCGGCAGCACAGAGGAACUUGUUCCUUGGGUGGCUAUCGGCGGACGGGUGAGUAAUGCCUGGGAAAUUGCCCGGUAGAGGGGGAUAACCAUUGGAAACGAUGGCUAAUACCGCAUAACCUCGUAAGAGCAAAGCAGGGGAUCUUCGGGCCUUGCGCUACCGGAUAUGCCCAGGUGGGAUUAGCUAGUUGGUGAGGUAAGGGCUCACCAAGGCGACGAUCCCUAGCUGGUCUGAGAGGAUGAUCAGCCACACUGAUACUGAGACACGAUCCAGACUCCUACGGGAGGCAGCAGUGGCGAAUUUUGCACAAUGGGCGCAAGCGUGAUGCAGCCACACCGCGUGUAUGAAGAAGGCAUUCGGGUUGUAAAGUACUUUCAGUAGGGAGGAAGGUGGUUAAGUUAAUAUCUUAAUCAUAAGACGUUACCUACAGAAGAAGCACCGGCUAACUCUGUGCCAGCAGCCGCGGUAAUUCGGAGGGUGCAAGCGUUAAUUGGAAUUCCUGGGGGUAAAGCGCAUGCAGGUGGUAUGUUAAGUCAGAUGUGAAAACCCUGGGCUCAACCUAGGAAUCGCAUUUGAAACUGACAAGUUAGAGUAUCUGUAGAGGGGGGUAGAAUUUCAGGUGUAGCGGUGAAAUGUGUAGAGAUCUGAAGGAAUCCCGGUGGCGAAGGCGGCCCCCUGGACAGAUACUGACACUCAGAUGCGAAAGCGUGGGGAGCAAACAGGAAAAGAUCCCCUGGUAGUCCAUCCCGUAAACGAUG
rnacentral:rRNA from 1 species